AGCGUACACGGUGGAUGCCCUGGCAGUCAGAGGCGAUGAAGGACGUGCUAAUCUGCGAUAAGCGUCGGUGAGGUGAUAUGAACCGUUAUAACCGGCGAUUUCCGAAUGGGGAAACCCAGUGUGUUUCGACACACUAUCAUUAACUGAAUCCAUAGGUUAAUGAGGCGAACCGGGGGAACUGAAACAUCUAAGUACCCCGAGGAAAAGAAAUCAACCGAGAUUCCCCCAGUAGCGGCGAGCGAACGGGGAGGAGCCCAGAGCCUGAAUCAGUGUGUGUGUUAGUGGAAGCGUCUGGAAAGGCGUGCGAUACAGGGUGACAGCCCCGUACACAAAAAUGCACAUAUUGUGAGCUCGAUGAGUAGGGCGGGACACGUGGUAUCCUGUCUGAAUAUGGGGGGACCAUCCUCCAAGGCUAAAUACUCCUGACUGACCGAUAGUGAACCAGUACCGUGAGGGAAAGGCGAAAAGAACCCCGGCGAGGGGAGUGAAAAAGAACCUGAAACCGUGUACGUACAAGCAGUGGGAGCCUCUUAAUGGGGUGACUGCGUACCUUUUGUAUAAUGGGUCAGCGACUUAUAUUCUGUAGCAAGGUUAACCGAAUAGGGGAGCCGAAGGGAAACCGAGUCUUAACUGGGCGUUAAGUUGCAGGGUAUAGACCCGAAACCCGGUGAUCUAGCCAUGGGCAGGUUGAAGGUUGGGUAACACUAACUGGAGGACCGAACCGACUAAUGUUGAAAAAUUAGCGGAUGACUUGUGGCUGGGGGUGAAAGGCCAAUCAAACCGGGAGAUAGCUGGUUCUCCCCGAAAGCUAUUUAGGUAGCGCCUCGUGAAUUCAUCUCCGGGGGUAGAGCACUGUUUCGGCAAGGGGGUCAUCCCGACUUACCAACCCGAUGCAAACUGCGAAUACCGGAGAAUGUUAUCACGGGAGACACACGGCGGGUGCUAACGUCCGUCGUGAAGAGGGAAACAACCCAGACCGCCAGCUAAGGUCCCAAAGUCAUGGUUAAGUGGGAAACGAUGUGGGAAGGCCCAGACAGCCAGGAUGUUGGCUUAGAAGCAGCCAUCAUUUAAAGAAAGCGUAAUAGCUCACUGGUCGAGUCGGCCUGCGCGGAAGAUGUAACGGGGCUAAACCAUGCACCGAAGCUGCGGCAGCGACACUAUGUGUUGUUGGGUAGGGGAGCGUUCUGUAAGCCUGUGAAGGUGUGCUGUGAGGCAUGCUGGAGGUAUCAGAAGUGCGAAUGCUGACAUAAGUAACGAUAAAGCGGGUGAAAAGCCCGCUCGCCGGAAGACCAAGGGUUCCUGUCCAACGUUAAUCGGGGCAGGGUGAGUCGACCCCUAAGGCGAGGCCGAAAGGCGUAGUCGAUGGGAAACAGGUUAAUAUUCCUGUACUUGGUGUUACUGCGAAGGGGGGACGGAGAAGGCUAUGUUGGCCGGGCGACGGUUGUCCCGGUUUAAGCGUGUAGGCUGGUUUUCCAGGCAAAUCCGGAAAACCAAGGCUGAGGCGUGAUGACGAGGCACUACGGUGCUGAAGUGACAAAUGCCCUGCUUCCAGGAAAAGCCUCUAAGCAUCAGGUAACAUCAAAUCGUACCCCAAACCGACACAGGUGGUCAGGUAGAGAAUACCAAGGCGCUUGAGAGAACUCGGGUGAAGGAACUAGGCAAAAUGGUGCCGUAACUUCGGGAGAAGGCACGCUGAUAUGUAGGUGAAGCGACUUGCUCGUGGAGCUGAAAUCAGUCGAAGAUACCAGCUGGCUGCAACUGUUUAUUAAAAACACAGCACUGUGCAAACACGAAAGUGGACGUAUACGGUGUGACGCCUGCCCGGUGCCGGAAGGUUAAUUGAUGGGGUUAGCGGCAACGCGAAGCUCUUGAUCGAAGCCCCGGUAAACGGCGGCCGUAACUAUAACGGUCCUAAGGUAGCGAAAUUCCUUGUCGGGUAAGUUCCGACCUGCACGAAUGGCGUAAUGAUGGCCAGGCUGUCUCCACCCGAGACUCAGUGAAAUUGAACUCGCUGUGAAGAUGCAGUGUACCCGCGGCAAGACGGAAAGACCCCGUGAACCUUUACUAUAGCUUGACACUGAACAUUGAGCCUUGAUGUGUAGGAUAGGUGGGAGGCUUUGAAGUGUGGACGCCAGUCUGCAUGGAGCCGACCUUGAAAUACCACCCUUUAAUGUUUGAUGUUCUAACGUUGGCCCCUGAUCGGGGUUGCGGACAGUGUCUGGUGGGUAGUUUGACUGGGGCGGUCUCCUCCUAAAGAGUAACGGAGGAGCACGAAGGUUGGCUAAUCCUGGUCGGACAUCAGGAGGUUAGUGCAAUGGCAUAAGCCAGCUUGACUGCGAGCGUGACGGCGCGAGCAGGUGCGAAAGCAGGUCAUAGUGAUCCGGUGGUUCUGAAUGGAAGGGCCAUCGCUCAACGGAUAAAAGGUACUCCGGGGAUAACAGGCUGAUACCGCCCAAGAGUUCAUAUCGACGGCGGUGUUUGGCACCUCGAUGUCGGCUCAUCACAUCCUGGGGCUGAAGUAGGUCCCAAGGGUAUGGCUGUUCGCCAUUUAAAGUGGUACGCGAGCUGGGUUUAGAACGUCGUGAGACAGUUCGGUCCCUAUCUGCCGUGGGCGCUGGAGAACUGAGGGGGGCUGCUCCUAGUACGAGAGGACCGGAGUGGACGCAUCACUGGUGUUCGGGUUGUCAUGCCAAUGGCACUGCCCGGUAGCUAAAUGCGGAAGAGAUAAGUGCUGAAAGCAUCUAAGCACGAAACUUGCCCCGAGAUGAGUUCUCCCUGACUCCUUGA
rnacentral:rRNA from 1 species